AGCGAACGCUGGCGGCAGGCUUAACACAUGCAAGUCGAGCGGGCGUAGCAAUACGUCAGCGGCAGACGGGUGAGUAACGCGUGGGAACGUACCUUUUGGUUCGGAACAACCCAGGGAAACUUGGGCUAAUACCGGAUAAGCCCUUACGGGGAAAGAUUUAUCGCCGAAAGAUCGGCCCGCGUCUGAUUAGCUAGUUGGUGAGGUAAUGGCUCACCAAGGCGACGAUCAGUAGCUGGUCUGAGAGGAUGAUCAGCCACAUUGGGACUGAGACACGGCCAAAACUCCUACGGGAGGCAGCAGUGGGGAAUAUUGGACAAUGGGGGCAACCCUGAUCCAGCCAUGCCGCGUGAGUGAUGAAGGCCAUAGGGUUGUAAAGCUCUUUUGUGCGGGAAGAUAAUGACGGUACCGCAAGAAUAAGCCCCGGCUAACUUCGUGCCAGCAGCCGCAGUAAUAC
rnacentral:rRNA from 1 species